rnacentral:lncRNA from 1 species
UGCUUGAAAGUUCUCUGAAACCUAGGUGGUUAUUGAUUGGCUGUGAGAUGGGCUGAAAAAUAGCAUUCACACUACGCAUGCAUAUAAAAUUAGUACAAUGGAGCACUAAUUAGCUGCUAGGAGUGAAUGCAAUGCGCCCUAAACCUUGUCUAUUAUGGAAAUGCACGUAAAUUUAACCGUCUCUUAUAAACUGUGACGGAGGAAGUAUUAUUAUCGUAACAACACCCCGGAUAUCUACUGUACCUGGCGAUGCAACCGCAUUACUCUAGUAAUCACCAGGUCUAUUAAAGACAAAAUUUCUGUAAAGCCUGCUUCAUUUAUAUGGACAUUCACGAUGUGCAUUUAACAACAUAUGACAGGCAAGAACGAUAUAGCAUAAAUCCAUCAAUGUGUUACCCCUACAAGACAUGCACAAUUAAACCUCGAGCAACCAAAGGGCUAAGCCUUGCUCCAAGGUAUCAGGUAUUAAGACUUGAGUAAGCAUUUCCAAACAUAAAAGUAACUACUAUUUAUGAUAAGAAAACUAAAGACUGAAAUUUACUUACAGUAGGGUGGAGCCCAGCACGCGGAGGAUCUACAAUAGCAACAAAGUUCUUGAACUGACAUCCAAUAGCUGCAAGCACAUCAUUAUUAGAUGUUUUGAUGUGCUCCGAACCGUCAGCUGCUUUUGCAUCAACGGACUCAUCAUUGACCAAUGAUGAUGCUUCCUCGCUGUUUUGAUUACGAACAGCCUCAUUGCAUUGCUCAUGUCCACCUUCCAACUCUUUGCUAGAACAAGUGGGAUGAUUAGCUGAUUUGUCUCCCAGCUGCUGACUUUCACCAUUGUCAUNNNN